rnacentral:misc_RNA from 1 species
GAAGUGCGAUAAGCAGUGCGAAUUGCAGAACCGUGAGUCAUCAGAUUUUUGAACGCAACUGGCGCCGGCUGGCUCUCCAGCCGGCAUGCUUGUUUCAGUGUCUCUUUACCUCAUCACCCAUAUCAUAAUGCGAGAGAUGCCCUUCUCUUGCCAAGCGCGAAAGCACUCUGCGCUCUGCGAGCGGCUCUCGAACUCGUUCGAGGACCGCACUCAAUGCAGCGGUCACAUUGCUCACAAUGUGAACUCAUUGAGAGCUGAGGCAGUGCAGCGUCAGCUGCCAGUGCUUAGUCACACAAACUUUACAUGCAUCUGAAAUCAAGCAGGAUCACCCGCUGAACUUAA